rnacentral:misc_RNA from 1 species
ACGAAACCAUCUCCUUCACAUUUCAUCACAAGUCACACGAAGAACAGAGGCAGACUGUCUGAUCAACGCAACACAUUCUUUAUUAUAUCAGAGACUUGAAAAAAAUGGGUAGAACCAUGUGGAUGAAAACUAUUAUGUACAGGAGAAAAAAGUGUGCUCUAUAUAAAAGUGAAUGAACUGAUAAUGUUGGAGCCCAUUGGAUAGCUACGAAUAUGAUGAAAGCCAUUACCCCGGUAAUUUGGUUUUUACAUGAAGAUCAUAGUACAUGCGUUACACAUGCAUUAAAGAGUGAAAUGGGAACUCAGUUUUAUCCAGCCUUUUAAAAACAGGAAAUGUCUCCUUAUCAUGUUGGGCAUCAGAGAAAAAUAAUCAAUAGUAUAUAGUGCAAAAUCCUAAUUUGUCAAGUUUUUUAGUGCAAAUGUUUCGUGUAAUGCCCCAGCUUCAUGAUUUAAGAAAUGAACAUCUACAGUGUAUCAGUAAUAUAUGUACUGGGACUAAAGUCACUAAAGAUAGCUUAAAAUCUGAUGCAGUAUGACUAGUUUCAGAUUUUUAAUUUAGAUCUUGUUUUUAUAGUGUUUGUUAAAUGUAUGUUUAAUAGAAACAAUAAAUGAUGACUUAAAAUGCCAUCACAUACCGGUU